AAAUAUAUUUACAGUCGCUGGGUCGGUCUGGUGUACCUGCAAUCUCCUGGUGAGGGGGGAAAAUAUAAUAAAAACAGGAUAAGUCUAAAACUCAGUGAGAUCAGUGAGUGGAUAGUAGUUUUGAAAAUUAAUUCUUACUUUAAAAGAAAUAAUCAUACUAUUUCCAAACACGAUUUCAUUAAACCAUAAGCGAGAAACCAGUAAUAAAUCAUUAAACAUUUCAAUCAGAUUACUAACCAUGGAAAUCAUAUCAUAAUAGAAUUCAUAAAUCUGAAAAUCAUCACCAAACAAGUACCCAGGGAAAUAAUCUCGUCAUAUCCAGACCUCAACGAACAGGCAAUGACGUACUAUCUGGGUAACGUCACGCCCCAGAGCUACACGGAUAGACAUUGAAAUACUAUAUCAUAUCUCAUCAUAUAUGUGCAUGCAUAAUCUAGUCCCCAAGGGACAAAAGCGCCCAAGCACACGGCCCAAAGCUUCUGUGUGUACUCAGACGGGCCCCAAAGGCCUGUAUCUCAUCUGUAUCAUUUGUAUCUCAAUAUAUGUCUGUAUCUCAUAUCUGUAUCUCUGUAAUCAUCAUACCGCAUGCAUAUGCCCCCAAAAGGCAAAAGCGCCCAAACACACGGCCCAAAGCCUCUAUGUGUGUUCAGACGGGCCCCAAAGGCCUCUCAUCUCAUCUGUAUCACAUGUAUCUGGAGGGAAAUGUACUGUCUAAUGAUUUCAAAAACAAUCAUUAUACUCAUAUUCACAUACAUUUUAAUCAUACUUUAAAUCAUACCACAUUUGAAUCCACGUUUCUUAUCUUUAAAAUAUUAUCAUGCUUUAUUCAAAGUCGAUACGCAAAAUCAAUAACCAAACAUUUUAAUAAAAUACCAAUGCGUAAAUAAAAAUUCAUUUCGAGGAAAUCAUUAAAUCAGAACAUUUAAAAUACUUAUUUCACAAACAUGCAUUACUAUCAUAAUUAACUAUGAAAAUAGGUUUUGUAUAUUCCACUCACAGUGACAGUGUUCACGGUCGGUUAUCGUCCACGUCCGCGGAUCAGUUCUCGCUCGCGGAUCCUCCUAAAUCAAGGAAACGACAUAAUUAUUUUCCGUAAAUCAGAAUUACGACUAAAUUUAUGCAAUAAACUCGAAACGAACAUCUAUCCAUAAUUGACAACUCCCGUGUCCAUAAAAUUACUAAAAUGCCCUUGAGUCCGUAAAUCAUUAACACAUACUCUGAAAUCGUACAUCACCGAAUUAUCUUCGGAAUCGUAAUUACACUCACUCCUCAAUUCUAUGAAUUACUAAAAUAUCCACAGGCUCAGAAAUUACAAAAUUGCCAUCAUAGUGUGAAAUUACCAAAAUGCCCUUGCCGGUCAACGGUCACCGGAAUUUGGUCAACGCUGGCUAGGAAGCUCAAAUCUGAAAGUUCCAAUCACGCUGAGUUCAAUGGUACCGGCGGUGAGCUCCAACGCGCGGCAACGGCGCCGGAAUCGAGCUCGGCAGCCGUGAAUUCCAACAAUCGACCGGCGGCAAAACAGUGACUCUCGGUGCCUAUGGAUGGUCGGAAAUGGAAGAGGGAGUCGUGGGGAACAAGAUCCAACCGGUGGUGUCACCCAAAACAGGCGAAAAUCCCGGCGGAGUAAAGUGAAACAGUCGCGGGUUUCAAGCUUCGAUAGCCGGCGUUCCGAUUGUUUUUCGGCGGCUAGAAUGGCAGGGGAGCGACGUUCCGCUUCUAAGCUUCAGAUUGGUACCAAGAUCGGCCGAAACGGUGGCCGGAAAUGGGAGAUAUGGUCGGGCCACGUUUGCGGGUCGGGUCGGGUCGGGUUGUCGGGUCUGUAGUUGGGUCGGUUUGGCAGCUUCUCUCACACGUGCAUGUGUCUGUUUUUGCUCUGUUUUCCAGCUUAUUCUUUUACUUAUAAACUCCUUAACCGCCUCAUUUUCAUUUUGAAAUUCACAUAUGUUACAAAUUUCUCCACAAACUUCAAGAUUGAAGCCUCAUUAGAUUGUACGAUGUGUGUGUGUGUGUGUGUGUGUGAAGAUUUUAAACUCAA
rnacentral:lncRNA from 1 species